GAUGAACGCUGGCGGCGUGCCUAAUACAUGCAAGUCGAGCGAACAGACGAGGAGCUUGCUCCUCUGACGUUAGCGGCGGACGGGUGAGUAACACGUGGAUAACCUACCUAUAAGACUGGGAUAACUUCGGGAAACCGGAGCUAAUACCGGAGAAUAUAUUGAACCGCAUGGUUCAAUAGUGAAAGACGGUUUUGCUGUCACUGAUAGAUGGAUCCGCGCCGCAUUAGCUAGUUGGGAAGGUAACGGCUUACCAAGGCAACGAUGCGUAGCCGCCCUGAGAGGGUGAUCGGCCACACUGGAACUGAGACACGGUCCAGACUCCUACGGGAGGCAGCAGUAGGGAAUCUUCCGCAAUGGGCGAAAGCCUGACGGAGCAACGCCGCGUGAGUGAUGAAGGUCUUCGGAUCGUAAAACUCUGUUAUUAGGGAAGAACAAAUGUGUAAGUAACUAUGCACGUCUUGACGGUACCUAAUCAGAAAGCCACGGCUAACUACGUG
rnacentral:rRNA from 1 species